AGAAAACUUGGUCCCAAUUUCUUUUACUUUUUUUUUUAUAAUGAUACAUGCAAAGGUUUAUCCCUUAACCAGUGAGGUCUUUCUAUUAAUAAAUAAAAUAAAACUUUUUAACAAAAUAAUGUAAUAAAGAAAAAUAUUUUCUAUAAACAUAGUAAACCCACAACAGCAGUACUAAAAAUUAAGCAAUUAGUAAAAACUAGACUUAAUAAUAAAAAAAAACAUUGGUUAAAAUACGUGCCAGCCACCGCGGUUAUACGUAAAAUGUAAAAAGUAAUAAAAACACCUUAGUGAUUAAAUUAAAACUAAUAAUAAAAGUAUAAGAACUAAAAAUAAAACAGUUAAAUGUAAAAACAAAAGAAAACCAACUACGCAAAAGUAAAUACUUAAAAACAAAAUCACGUAAGUAUAAAAACAAACCAGGAUUAGAGACCCUGCUAUGUUAUAUCAUAAACAAUAAGAAAGAACUACUAGUUUAAACUUAAAACUUAAAGGACUUGGCGGUUUUUUAGAUCUUCCUAGAGGAGCCUGCCACAGAAUUGACAAACCACAAAAUACCUUACCUACCUUAGAAAACAGCCUGUAUAUCAUCAUCGUCAGCCCACCUUAAUUAAGAGAAAGUAAGCGCAAAGAAAACACCCCAAAACGUUAGAUCAAGAUGCAGCUAAUAGAUAGGAGAAAGGUGGGCUACAAUAUUUUAAACAAAUACGGAACUUAAACUUAAAAAAUAAAAGAAGUAGGAUUUAGCAGUAAGAGAAAUUAAGAAAAGCUCUCUGAAAAAGCCCUAAAAUACGUACACACCGCCCGUCACUCUCUUUAACAUUAAAAGAGAAAAGUCGUAACAAGGUAAGAGUAGGGGAACCUGCUCUUGGAAGGUU
rnacentral:ncRNA from 1 species